GCGGGGGACCAAUAGAGUUUUGUAACAAUGCAGUGCAUUGUCAGAAGCAAGAACUCUUUUUACAAAAUGGUUAGUUUGAAAUUUGUUCUAUUUAAAUCCCAGCUUUUCAACUUGUACAUAACUAUUCUGAAAGAGAGAGAGAGAGAGUUUGACUCUGGAGUUGUUCAUGAAGGAUAACAGUUAUGGCGCUUUUAUGCCCUUCAGCUUUUCUCUGUUUUAUUGCGUUAUAUUGUAUGUCAUCUGUGACUGCAGAGAGAAGAUUAUUAUGCUCCUCAGAACAUCUUGAAAUUUGGUACACCGUUGAUGGCCCAUUGUAUUACCUGUCAAUGACCGGUUUCCCCUGCAAUCUAGGAGUGAAUUUGUAUUCUGUAAAGUAUAGAGUAAUCCCAAUGUUCACGAUCAGCCGUUUUGGAUAUCAUGGUCUUAUUUACUACAAAGAUCAGCUGUGGUUGGAUCACGUGCAGCCAGAUGUUCCUUGUGAAGAUAUCAAAUUAUGUUACAUCAUC